rnacentral:rRNA from 1 species
CAGUCGCCGCGGUAAUACGUAGGUGGCAAGCGUUGUCCGGAAUUAUUGGGCGUAAAGGGCUCGCAGGCGGUUUCUUAAGUCUGAUGUGAAAGCCCCCGGCUCAACCGGGGAGGGUCAUUGGAAACUGGGAAACUUGAGUGCAGAAGAGGAGAGUGGAAUUCCACGUGUAGCGGUGAAAUGCGUAGAGAUGUGGAGGAACACCAGUGGCGAAGGCGACUCUCUGGUAUGUAACUGACGCUGAGGAGCGAAAGCGUGGGGAGCGAACAGGAUUAGAUACCCCAGUAGUCCCUGUCUCUUAUAC